AGUCUUGUUCUUAUUAUUUUUGCAAUGUUUUCUUAUUCUUUUUUCUUUCUUAUCGAUUAAAAUUGUUAUAUUAUAGGAGAAAGCUACGGGAGUAAAACCUUCUCUGGAGGAGGUUUAUACUAAAUGCCACACCAAAAAAGACAAAAGUUGGAUUGAUGAAAGAUCUGAGAAAGUCAUUGGUGAAUUCAAAAAGCGAAAGACAGAACUUUCUCAAGUAGCUUUAUCCUUGGAUAAUGAGGGAGAUAUUGAGGCAACUAAGGAAGGCCUAGAUAUACCAGAUGAUUAUACUGUUUGGAACGAAGUUGUGACAAAGGGAAAAAAGAAAGCUGCAUUUGGUUUAGGUUCUUUUGGUUUAGAUCUCUCUUCAAAGUUGGAUUCCAGAAAUUGUUCAAAGACAUCCAAAGACAAUCUAAAUAUUGAGCAAGAACUUCACAUGUGGAAAGAAAAGGCAAAGGAGCAGGAAAUUAUCAAUGAAGAGCAAAAGGUUAAGUUGAAAGAUGCUGAGCACAAGUUAAAAGAUCAAGGACGUCAACUAAAAGUUCAACAAAAAAGAAUUGGUUCUACUGAAAAGACAAUUCAUGCUUUGUAUAAAAAGUUGAAUCUGCCACUUCCUUCAACCUUGUCUGAUCCUACGGAAGAUGAGCUUGGGACAGGCUCUAGUGAUGAUAACAUGAGUGAUUGAUAUUUAGAGUAUAUAUUUUUUCUGAUUUAGAUU